CUACGGGUGGCUGCAGUGGGGAAUAUUGGACAAUGGGGGGAACCCUGAUGCAGCAACGCCGCGUGGAGGAUGACGCAUUUCGGUGUGUAAACUCCUUUUAUAUGUCAAGAAAAUGACGGUAGCAUAUGAAUAAGCACCGGCUAACUCCGUGCCAGCAGCCGCGGUAAUACGGAGGGUGCAGGCGUUACUCGGAAUCACUGGGCGUAAAGGACGCGUAGGCGGGUUGGAAAGUCAGGUGUGAAAUCCUACAGCUUAACUGUAGAACUGCACUUGAAACUUCUAAUCUAGAGUAUGGGAGGGGGAGAUGGAAUUAGUGGUGUAGGGGUAAAAUCCGUAGAUAUCACUAGGAAUACCUAAAGCGAAGGCGAUCUCCUGGAACAUUACUGACGCUAAGGCGUGAAAGCGUGGGGAGCAAACAGGAUUAGAUACCCUGGUAGUC
rnacentral:rRNA from 1 species